CGCGGGUCGCGGGUUGCAUCUCUCUCGUGAAGUUCGCGGGUUGCAUCUCUCUCACAAAGUUUGUGGGUUGCCCUGUUCACGAAGGUCUCAGAGCUCACGAGAUCUAAAUUGAGAAACAGGGUUGGACUGCAGAGAAUUAGAUCAUCUGGAAUGGUGCUUUCAGCUUUCCAUCUUCUUUUCAGCUUACCUGCAUGUGAGCAAGUGAAACAUGAUUGUACCUUUUCUUGUAGGUUCUUCUUAGAGACAUGGUUACAGGAAAAACCAGUUUGUAGGUUCUUCAUGGAGCAAGUGAAACAUGAUUGUACCCAUUCAUUUAACCGAAAAGUAGGUCCAGCCUCAAAAUUAAUUCAUAAUUGGAGAAGUUAAUCUGACUGGUUUGUUGUUCAAUAGUAGGUUCAAGGUUAGAUAAUUAUCUGAUAUGGAAUUCUUUGACAUCUAUAUCUUUCACUCUUGGGAUGAUAAAAAAAAAGGAAGGUGGGUAGGGGAAAGGAAAUGAGAGGAGUAAGGAGAAGACUUGUAUUGUAUUAUGUAAGAUCUCUACAUAGAAGGAGAGAAGAAAGCUAUGAGCAACUGGUGUUUAGGUCCUUGCCAAGAUCUGCCAGUUGUUGGUAGGUGUUAAGUAAAUUUUAUGUUCAAUUCUGAUCAUAAUUGUUAGUUUCCCAUUUACAAUGAAAGAAGUAUUGCUUCUAUCAUUAGCUGAAAAUAGAGUACUUUAUUGAAUUGCUGAAAGAAAUAUUGCUUCUAUCAUUAGCUGAAAAAGUCUACUCUUGUUGAAUUGCUGAAAACAGAGUACUUUAUUAUUAUUUUUUUAAUUUCACUAGUAGAGAGAAGAGAUAGAAAUCAA